rnacentral:lncRNA from 1 species
CUAAGAAAUCCUAGUAGAUACUUUAAACCCUAAUUUACAAGCACCUAAGCACUAUUUUCUUCAUAUCUCAAGAAUCCAAUACUCAAAUGUCAUUAAACUUAUGUAAAAAGUUUAUUAACAUGAAAUUAUACAUUCUCUAAAAUUUUGAGCCAAAAAUUGUCAAAUUGCUCAACAUUUAGUUCAAGACACAACCACUAGUAAAUUUGAUCACUUACUACACUUAGAUUGCAAACGCUGACUUCAAAAUCCAAUACCUCCUUCAUUCCAACUUGGAAUCCAAAAAACAAUAUAAAAAAAGUGUAGCCGCAAAAGUGCUCUCUCCAAUCAUAGUCGCCGAUCCUCGAAUGCCAUUCGUAUACGUGCGUUAUGACAAAAAGAGUGAUAGUAGCUCCCAAAUCAACACCUUAACUUUGAGCACUUGUAUCUCC